rnacentral:lncRNA from 1 species
AAGUCUGUGUACCAAGUUUCUGCUACUUAACUUUGUUAUGUUCCUAUGAGAAUGGUACAUUGAGAUAUUGGAGGAAUUACCACACAUUUGCAAAGCGGGCAUGGCUACUAAGCUCCUAUCUUCCCAGAGUCCACCACCCCUUACUUUCAACCUGGAAAAGUAGAUUAUCGAGGGGCUUCACCAAGCGUUGGCUCCUCGCCUUCCGGCGGUUCAUCGGGCGAAGUGAAUAGUCGUCCACGCGGCCGGCUAGGCGGACGACCGGCAGGCUGGCCGCAUCCCGGCCACGAAGGCCAAAGCUACUUCUGCUACUUCCACGACGCAGUUGAGGAGGAGGUACACGAUUUUGGCGAGGAGAGCUACGCGCUCAUAAAGGCCAACGUCGUCGACCUAAAGCCGCUCCAGGUCGUCCGCCUAGACAUAUCCCAUACUCACAUGAGCAAGAAAACAAGUUAAAUAGUUCUUUAGCGGCUUGCUCAAGAUAUAUCCCAUACUCACAGUUUAUUUAUUUAUUUCCUGAAAAGAGUAUAUAUAGUCCCACUGUCUUAGGGUCCGAAAGUGAAUGUCAUAUGUUUCCAGAUUUGCUUUUCUCUAUAUCCAUCUGCAGUCUAUCUAAAAUAAUGGAGGAAAACAAAUAUAC